rnacentral:rRNA from 1 species
AUAGCGUAUAUUAAAGUUGUUGUGGUUAAAAAGCUCGUAGUUGAACCUUGGGGCGGCCGCGGAGGUCCACUUCUUUGUGAGUACUUUUUGCGGCGGCCCUUCCAUGGCCCCUACCAGGGCCAUAGUUACUUUGAGUAAAUGAGAGUGUUCAAAGCAGGCAAGCGCUUGAAUCUUUUAGCAUGGAAUAAUAAAAUAGGACGAUGAUUCUAUUUUGUUGGUUUCUAGGACCAUCGUAAUGAUUAAUAGGGACGGUCGGGGGCAUUAGUAUUCAGUUGUAAGAGGUGAAAUUCUUAGAUUUUCUGAAGACUAACUACUG